GAUGAACGCUAGCGGCAGGCUUAAUACAUGCAAGUCGAACGGUAAGUUUGGUAGCAAUAUCAAACCAAGAGUGACGUACGGGUGCGUAACACGUAUGCAACCUACCUUGUACAGGAGUAUAGCUCGGGGAAACUCGAAUUAACCCUCCAUGAGAUCAUAGAAUGGCAUCAUUUAGUGAUUAAAACUCAGGUGGUACAAGAUGGGCAUGCGUCUGAUUAGAGUUGGCGGGGUAAUGGCCCACCAAGACGAUGAUCAGUAGGGACCUGAGAGGGUGACUCCCCCACACUGGCACUGAGAUACGGGCCAGA
rnacentral:rRNA from 1 species